CAGUAGCCGCGGUAAAACGUAGGGUGCAAGCGUUAAUCGGAAUUACUGGGCGUAAAGCGUGCGCAGGCGGUUCUAUAAGACAGAUGUGAAAUCCCCGGGCUCAACCUGGGAACUGCAUUUGUGACUGUAGAGCUGGAGUGCGGCAGAGGGGGAUGGAAUUCCGCGUGUAGCAGUGAAAUGCGUAGAUAUGCGGAGGAACACCGAUGGCGAAGGCAAUCCCCUGGGCCUGCACUGACGCUCAUGCACGAAAGCGUGGGGAGCAAACAGGAUUAGAUACCCCUGUAGUCCAUGUCUCUUAUAC
rnacentral:rRNA from 1 species